AUGGACUGGACCUGGAUGGUCUUCUGCUUGCUGGCAGUAGCUCCAGGGGCCCACUCCCAGGAGCAGCUGGUGCAGUCUGGGGCUGAGGUGAAGAAGCCUGGGGCCUCAGUGAAGGUCUCCUGCAAAGCUUCUGGAUACAUUUUCACCAGUUAUGUUAUCAGCUGGCUGCGACAGGCCCCUGGACAAGGGUUUGAGUGGAUGGGAGGAAUCCACCCUGGUUAUGGUAGCACAAGCUACGCACAGAAGUUCCAGGGCAGAGUCACGAUUACCGCGGACAUGUCCACGAGCACAGUCUACAUGGAGCUGAGCAGUCUGAGAUCUGAGGACAUGGCCGUGUAUUACUGUGCAGCAGACACAGUGUGA